AUGAACGCUGGCGGCGUGCCUAAUACAUGCAAGUCGAGCGAACGGACGAGAAGCUUGCUUCUCUGAUGUUAGCGGCGGACGGGUGAGUAACACGUGGAUAACCUACCUAUAAGACUGGGAUAACUUCGGGAAACCGGAGCUAAUACCGGAUAAUAUUUUGAACCGCAUGGUUCAAAAGUGAAAGACGGUCUUGCUGUCACUUAUAGAUGGAUCCGCGCUGCAUUAGCUAGUUGGUAAGGUAACGGCUUACCAAGGCAACGAUGCAUAGCCGACCUGAGAGGGUGAUCGGCCACACUGGAACUGAGACACGGUCCAGACUUCUACGGGAGGCAGCAGUAGGGAAUCUUCCGCAAUGGGCGAAAGCCUGACGGAGCAACGCCGCGUGAGUGAUGAAGGUCUUCGGAUCGUAAAACUCUGUUAUUAGGGAAGAACAUAUGUGUAAGUAACUGUGCACAUCUUGACGGUACCUAAUCAGAAAGCCACGGCUAACUACGUG
rnacentral:rRNA from 1 species